rnacentral:rRNA from 1 species
GACGAACGCUGGCGGCGUGCCUAAUACAUGCAAGUAGAACGCUGAAGCGAGGAGCUUACUCUUCUUGGAUGAGUUGCGAACGGGUGAGUAACGCGUAGGUAACCUGCCUUGUAGCGGGGGAUAACUAUUGGAAACGAUAGCUAAUACCGCAUAACAAUGGAUGACACAUGUCAUUUAUUUGAAAGGGGCAAUUGCUCCACUACAAGAUGGACCUGCGUUGUAUUAGCUAGUAGGUGAGGUAAUGGCUCACCUAGGCGACGAUACAUAGCCGACCUGAGAGGGUGAUCGGCCACCCUGGGACUGAGACACGGCCCAGACUCCUACGGGAGGCAGCAGUAGGGAAUCUUCGGCAAGGGGGGCAACCCUGACCGAGCAACGCCGCGUGAGUGAAGAAGGUUUUCGGAUCGUAAAGCUCUGUUGUAAGUCAAGAACGGGUGUGAGAGUGGAAAGUUCACACUGUGACGGUAGCUUACCAGAAAGGGACGGCUAACUACGUG